AUAAUGAAUACAUUAAUAGAUAUAAUACACACAAAUUGUAUAUAAUAUACAUCUAUCUUCUUGUCGUCAACUGUGUCUGUGUAUAUAAUACUCCAUUACCUUGGAUAUUAAGCCCAAUCUAUGGUUUUGCAUACAGUAAAAUAAGAUACAAUUACUGUGUGACGAUGUGUUUGAGAUCAUGCUGUAUUCGGUGCACUUGCGGCACAAUUGUUCUUGCGGCGCAAUUGUUCUCACCAUCUCGGGAGUAAUUUUGGGAUGAUCAACCUAUUCCAUGAUUUACGGGAAAGGAAUUUGGUUCGUGAGUAGUCCUAACGACACAAAUUGAGUGAAACAAGCCCUAAUUCGAAGAGGUCGUUCAGCUAUUCUAUACGUGGUGGAUUCCAAUUCCUCACAGUUUUUGCGUUGGGUUCUCCAAAUUAUGUUGAAAAGAUUUAGAGAGGAGAUUUAUUUAUGUCUAACAUCCAACAUCAUUUUCCCUCACCAGAGGGUACAUUUGUACUCACUCCUCUGUCUAGAUAUUUUGAUUUGGAUGUACUUCUUGGAAUCACAGGUUUUGCAAAGUUGGACUUCUUGAAGAAAGCUUCAACCUAGAGAUAAUGUGGUGGAGGAUGGUAGUGCCUGCAACGGACAAGAGGGAGGAAAUUUUAGGAAAGAGCAAGAGAGGAAGGAAAAGUUCAUAGGAACAUUGUGGGGAGUGCUUAUCACGGUGCUCCGGAAGUGUUGAAGCGGAGUUAUGGGAAGGAUGCAUGGGUCAUUCUAUACAUCCUUCUCAGUGGAGUACCUCCAUUUUGGCUUGCGUACUAAUUGAUUACCAAAGUAGGCCAGCUUGUGUUUGGACUAUUUGAGCAAGCCAAACCGUCUAAUUUUGACGAGAAUGCCCAUUUAGUUUGGCUAGCCUUUUUGAAGGGCUAGAAAAUUGUACGAUUAGACAAUAAAGAAAGAGUACAAUUGUCGGGAUCAUUAUUAUCCCAACCUCUGUUCAAGGUCAGUAAAUGAUAUCCCACAACCUGUUCCAGGUUACAGAUUUAUAGAGGCUAUUCAUUAAAAAGAAUUGGGAGUGCAAAACAGGUGAGAUAUUAUGCCUUGUUUAACUUCGUGGCCAAUACUCAUCUUUUGUUGACUAGAUUGAGUUGCUGCUUCUUGAGAUACCUUGUUUUACAGCUUUGUUUCUUGCACUAAGAUCAUAGAUUGUGCCCGGAAGAGAAACAGAAAAGUGCACUAAGAGAAGAUAGCUAAAGUUAGUUUUAUUUCAUGUGCACAGUUAGAGGCAAAGAGGGCACUUAUGACUCUCAGUAUUCAUGGAGACAACAAUACUAGAUACGUCCAUUGUUCGUGUUCUUUCUCUACUAUCAUAACUACAUGAACAAAAAAAAUACUAUUAACUUCCCAACUACAAUUAAACCAAUGAGCAUGCAGAAAUGUUCGAAGCACGAACAUUACACUAUUUAGAUAUAAAUUACGUUGUUUAUGUUACUAGAUAUGGAUUGCAUAUUAGAAUCUUUGUGGGAU